rnacentral:pre_miRNA from 1 species
UCUUAUGGAUAAGCAAAGAAAGUGGCUUCUUGAAAGAAAAUCUACUCCUGGUGAACAUACUGUGAA